CAGUGCGUCCAGGCUGGGCUAGGCAGCGCGGGUCAGAGCAGCAGAAAGGAAGUGUGGAUUGAGGGGUUUAUCCUAUCUCCCUGGCGGAGGCAGGGGCUGAGGAGGAGGGGGGGGGUAAGCAGGAUUAUAAGUGCCGGCGGAGGGGCCGGUAGGAGGUGUGUGAACAUUGUGACGGUUCAGAGGGAGAGCCGUGAGACUGGACGCCUUCUGAGGAAACACAUAAAGAGCAGGCCUGAGAGGAACACAUGCUGCUCAUUUCAAUAAUGGAUUUGAUCCUUGACGACGCCACAAAUUAAACACAAACUUGCUAAGUAUAGAAGCCUGG
ensembl:lncRNA